rnacentral:lncRNA from 1 species
GGCAGGUAGGUAGGUGGGUAGGUGGUCAAUCGGGCAGGUAGGUGGUCAAUUAGGAAGGUAAGCAGUCAAGCAGGUAGGUAAGUAGUCAAUCAGGCAGAUAACUAGGAGGUAGGUGGUCGAUCAGGCGGGUAGGUGGUCAAUCGGACAGGUAAGUAGUCAAUCGGGCAGGUAGGUAGGUAGUUAAGUAGUUGAUCGGGCAGGUAGGUGGUCAGGCAGGUAGGUAGGUGGGUAGGUGGUCGAUCAGGUAGGUAGGUGGUCAAGAAGGUAGUUAAGUAGUCAAGCAGGCAGGUAACUAGGCAGGUAGGUGGUCAAUCAGGCAGGUAGGUUGGCGGGUGGGUGGUCAAUCGGGCAGGUAGGUAGGUGGGUAGGCAGGUAAGUAGUUGAUCAGGCAGGUAACUGGGUAGGUGGUCAAUCGGGCAGCGAGGUGGUCAGGCAGGGAGGUAAGUGGCCCAUCAGUCGGUCACCGGCUACCUUGGGGCUGCUGUGGUUCCCUGGGGACUUUGUGGUGCCGCGAGGAUCGCUCGCCCCAGCUGGCGGCCCCAGCCUUUGAAGUUUGGUUAAAGUUUAGGAAUCGAUUUUUGGCUUGGAGAGCAGCUGAAGGCAGUCUCGGAAUGGCCGGAGCCCGUUGUGCCUAGCAGGAUUGGAUUCCCUUGGGAAUUAAAACCGAGCCUGAGCUCCUGGCAGCAGCACGGUGAGUCUCAGCUGGAGCUGAGGAGAGGAGGAGGGUCCUGAGGGUCG